rnacentral:tRNA from 1 species
GCCCUGGUGGUACAAUGAUAAGGUGCUUGGCUGCUGACUGAAAAGGCUGGUGGUUCAAACCCACCCCAUGGCU